GACGAACGCUGGCGGCGUGCUUAACACAUGCAAGUCGAACGGAAAGGCCCUGCUUUUGUGGGGUGCUCGAGUGGCGAACGGGUGAGUAACACUUGAGUAACCUGCCCUUGACUUUGGGAUAACUUCAGGAAACUGGGGCUAAUACCGGAUAGGAGCUCCUGCUGCAUGGUGGGGGUUGGAAAGUUUCGGCGGUUGGGGGUGGACUCGCGGCUUAUCCGCUUGGUGGUGGGGUAGUGGCUUACCAAGGCUUUGACGGGUAGCCGGCCUGAGAGGGUGACCGGCCACAUUGGGACUGAGAUGCGGCCCAGACUCCUACGGGAGGCAGCGGUGGGGAAUAGUGCACAAUGGGCGGAAGCCUGAUGCAGCAACGCCGCGUGCGGGAUGACGGCCUUCGGGUUGUAAACCGCUUUCGCCUGUGACGAAGCGUGAGUGACGGUAAUGGGUAAAGAAGCACCGGCUAACUACGUG
rnacentral:rRNA from 1 species